rnacentral:rRNA from 1 species
ACAUCCAGAGAACUUGGCAGAGAUGCCUUGGUGCCUUCGGGACCUCUGAGACAGGUGCUGCAUGGCUGUCGUCAGCUCGUGUUGUGAAAUGUUGGGUUAAGUCCCGNAACGAGCGCAACCCCUAUCCUUUGUUGCCAGCGAUUCGGUCGGGAACUCAAAGGAGACUGCCGGUGAUAAACCGGAGGAAGGUGGGGAUGACGUCAAGUCAUCAUGGCCCUUACGAGUAGGGCUACACACGUGCUACAAUGGCGCAUACAAAGAGAAGCGACCUCGCGAGAGCAGGCGGACCUCAUAAAGUGCGUCGUAGUCCGGAUCGGAGUCUGCAACUCGACUCCGUGAAGUCGGAAUCGCUAGUAAUCGUAGAUCAGAAUGCUACGGUGAAUACGUUCCCGGGCCUUGUACACACCGCCCGUCACACCAUGGGAGUGGGUUGCAAAAGAAGUAGAUAGCUUAACCUUCGGGAGGGCGUUUACCACUUUGUGAUUCAUGACUGGGGUGAAGUCGUAACAAGGUAGGCGUAGCGAG